AUCGCGCAGAUUCCUCACGUUGUCACGUGAAUAUGCUUCCUUCCUGACCUGGAGUGGCCACCUCUAAGUGUCUCAGGAUUGUUCACUCUCUGGGCCCAUUCAGCCCUUGGCUUCUUGGCUGAAACUGCCCAGGAAGAAGAUGCAUAUUUGAUGAUGACCAAGGCUGGCUUCAAUCUCUGCUGGCUGGCAGGUAAUGAUUGCUCUGUGGAGGUAGCACAAUCAGCCCCUGUAGAGGAAAGAACUCCUCAUAUUGCUCAAAGGCAGCCAAUUAAGAAACAGCGCAGAUGGAUUCCAAAGAACAGAACACUGAGAACACUUGCAAAGGAGGCAGCUUCCUCAGGAAUUGUCCUUUGCAACGUUGUGUUUAAGGAAUCUUCAGAGAUGAAAACCUUUGGGUUUGUUGUUUGCAUUAUCAACUGAAAUGGAAACUCCAAAUCAGGUUCUCAUUCUUCAUGACCAUCAUGGACCCAGGUUCACAGAGUGAGAAUGUUUUAGUCUGCCAAGAGAAAAGUACAAUGGUAAAAGAAGCUCUUCUGGAGAAAACUAUAUUUGCUGAAGAUAGCUGAAGACGGGCCGUGGAAGGAAAGGCAUUAAGUGCAGCCGAAUGGUGUGGCUCUGCAGUGCUUGAGAGGGGAGGCAUGACGGUAGCCAUGCCAAUUCCAUUAAGAAUGGAGAAGCAAGACUAAGAAAUUAGAUCCCUUUCUGAUGUAAUGAAGAAAUAUAUGUUGAUGUGCACCUAAGGGCUGGGAGAGAUAAAGAUCCUGUAUCUGAUUCAAAACAGAGUAAGCAAAGUUACUCUCCGCAUACCACCAACAGAGCCUCAACUGCCAUGGAAGCUGGUUUGCCAAUUAAAGAUAUUUCUUGGUUUUCCUUUAUAAAUUAGAACUAGAUCCAAAUCAUUUUUUUUUCCAAACACUGUGGGGGUUGUUUGCAUUAGGUAAUCCAAUGUGAGACUGGACUCUCCAGUUGGACUCUCAGGACAUCAAGCCUUGGCGGUUGCACAGGAACAGACCAAAUGGCUAAUGAUUGCUACAGCCGACUGUCUGGCUAAGCGUAGAAGAAUAAGCAGAAGAAUUUGAGAUGACUACAGAUAUGGACUCAAGACAUACGGACCAGAUCUGGCUGUGGAUUCAGAUUUUAGAUUUGGCAGUUCCAGUUUGUGCUUGUCUCUAUUUUUAGUAAAAGUUGAAUAGGGGCUAAUUCUGCUGUCACUUAUACUAGCGUAGUCACUGACUUGCACCAGUGUAACUGGGAUCAGAACAUGGCCCACAGUUAUUCCAGUGUGGAACAAUGAAGUGUUACAUUAUUAUAGCCUGUGGGACAGAUGCCUCAGAAUAGGCACAGCACAGAAGAGUCCAGGGGAAGUGCAGGAAAAAGAUUCUGGGUUGGCUGCGGGCUACUGCAGCCCCUGCUCUAACUUAUGGCAGCCUUAUCUAGGCUAUCCAUAGGCUGUGCUGCAGCCUGGAGCGGUCCAGAAUUGCCAUAACGCUCAGCACUAUAGAUAUUCAACUUCUGCCCCUAACAUGCUUCUUCCUGGCACUACCUUGGCACAUCUCUUAUGCUGAGGGCUGUGAUGGGGGCCGGACAGCAAACCUACACUGCUCUUGCACUGGGGGAAUUCUGCAGCAGGCUGCAGCACCUGUACAACCCUUAUAUGCCAGCAGAGUCACCUACAGGGUGUGGGUUGGGGGCUAGAAUUGGGUACCACAUGUUUAAGAAACUCCUAUCUUAUUGCAAUAUAAAGUUAUAUCUCUCAAGAGCUAAGAUCUGUCUGUAUUUUCUACCUUUUAGCAUUCUUUCUCUCCCCAUGUGUUUAGUGACAUUAAUUUUUCAACUUUUUAAUACUAUUUUGCAAUUUAGACCUGCAAAAUCAAUAAAAUCAAAGUUCCCAAAAUGAUGUAGGUGGCAGAAGCAGCACCCCCCCCAUCAGAACGUUUAUUUUCUAGAACAGAUUUUUUAUUAUUUUCUCUCUGCUUAUAAAUUAUAUGACGUUAAAAUAUUAGUAACAUCAGCUUCAAAAUUCAUCACGUUGCAAUUCUUAAAUCCAUGUUCUCCAUUUUUUUUCUUUUUGUUGCUACAGGGACAAACCUAAAAGCAAGCAUCUGAUGGAGGUGGGGGAAAUCACAGCUCAGCUGAGACUUUCUUUUCAUAGCACAUUGAGAAGCUUACUAGCUGUAGAUUUGAUUAUUGACUGAGGCCAGAAAAUUGAAAAGAUGUUUUAUGACGGACCCAUAACUCUAUGCUUUGCUCUCAGUGAUGUAGGGACUCUUACAGGCACUGAUUGGUGGAUGGAGUCAAAAAUUGAGAGCUGCUAGUUAUUGGCAUUGCUGGUGCUGAAACAUAGCUAGCUAACACUUCUCCUGUCUUCUCCACCUGCACCUGUAUCCAAACAGAGAACCUGACCAUGGAUACCUCUACCCAGAUCCUGAUGUGGAUUUGCAUAGACUGUGGUCUGCAUUUCCCACUCUCAGAAAGCCAGGCUGGGGGACAGUCCACUGUGAAAGGUGCCUGCUGGUGGACUCUCCCAGGAAGCAGGUGGGAAAGCCUACAGUAGGAGGUGGCUAGACUGAGAAGCAUCCGUGCCCAUGAGGAAUUCAUAGACAGUAUUCAUAUGGAGAUGUCCAAGGUUGAGGAAGCUAUCUAUCAAGGGCUGUUGUCAUGCCACCAUGGGAGGAGGAUUUGGCUCUGUCACAGGGAGGACACUGGCUGCCUGUUACUUCUGGUAGCAGGCAGUGCUCCACCCUUAGUUCCAACCCUCCUACCAUAGUGAUGAAGAACUGUUAUGCUGCCCUGGCAAUGAUCAACGAGGAAUCACCCCCAAAGGUGGAGGAGGAGAAGCCAUGUACCCCCAAGGAUCGCAGCCACCACUCCCAGGAGGAAACAUAGGGUAAUGGUGGUUAGUGACCCUCUUCUGAGGGGGACGGAGGCACCCAUCUGCUGCCUGACAUGGCAUCCUGUGAGAUAUGCUGCCUGCCAGGGGCCCAUAUCUGAGACUUUACGGAGGGAUUGUUAAGGAUCAUCCAGCACUCUGAUUACUACCACAUGCUACUCAUCCAUGUGGGCACUAAUAAUACUGCCAAGUAUGACCCUAAGCAGAUCAGAAGUGACUACAAGGCUCUGGGAGUAAGGUUGAAGGAGCUGGGGGUUCAGUAGUGUUCUCUUCGAUGCUUCUGAUCAGGGGUAGGAGGGCCCAAGCAGAGAGAUGCAUCCUGGAGGUGAAUGCCUGGCUGUGAAGAUGGUGUCACCAGGAGGUCUUCGGGUACGUUGACCACGAGAUGCUGUUCCAGGAAGGACUGCUAAGCAGAGAUGAGGUCCACCUAUCAAGGAAGAGGAAGAGCAUCUUUGGAUAUAGACUGGCUAACCUAGUGAGGUGGGCUUUAAACUAGGUUCGAUGGGGACAGGUGAUAAAAGCCCACAGGUAAGUCCAAAACAUAGAGACCUGGGAGAAGGUUCAGAAUCUGGGGGGAGAAUGUGCCAUUAUAGCAGGGAUAAGGGCGAGACAAGAGAGAAUG